CAGUAGCCACGGGAAUACGAAGGGGGCUAGCGUUGUUCGGAUUUACUGGGCGUAAAGCGCACGUAGGCGGAUCGAUCAGUCAGGGGUGAAAUCCCAGAGCUCAACUCUGGAACUGCCUUUGAUACUGUCGAUCUGGAGUAUGGAAGAGGUGAGUGGAAUUCCGAGUGUAGAGGUGAAAUUUGUAGAUAUUCGGAGGAACACCAGUGGCGAAGGCGGCUCACUGGUCCAGUACUGACGCUGAGGUGCGAAAGCGUGGGGAGCAAACAGGAUUAGAUACCCCAGUAGUCCCUGUCUCUUAUAC
rnacentral:rRNA from 1 species